CCGCGGCCUCGGCUAUGCUGAAUGCCUGUGCACGCACACGCUCGGUGCAGCAGUACCGGCCCCUUUAUUCCUUCUUGGCCACCACUAAGCACACGCGGCCGCCGUGACCUCGGGUUGCCGAGCGCCCGCGCGCGUACGCGCCGAACGCCACCUGAGCCGGGACCAAAAGGCCCUGCCUUUGCCUCGCCAACGCCCGCGUCCACCACCGCAGUUGCUGGUCGCCGCGAACCGGGAUACCGGAGCUCGCAUGUGUCAUGACUGAUCAAAAUGACCGGCUUCCCUCGCGCACUCUCUGAUGUUUACACGAAGGCAAGUAAGAGCACCUUCCAAGUUUCUCUCGGUGGAUGGAAACACGCACACACACACUUGAGGAAAACAAAUGCAGGAACACAAACUCUGAGAGGAUCACUAACUCACACAGAAACUCUUCCGUGCUGCACACCAGUACUGUAUUUGUAUUCACCUCCACACACACGCAGUACAAGCUGAUUACACAGUUUAAAUAAACACACUCCACACCACGUCCGGUCCCACCACAUGGCUGAGCACUCGUGGCCUGACCACGCCUCCCUGCAUGCAAGCCACACUUACCUGCAUGCAGAUCACCAUUAACUAACUUGUGCUAACAACUCGUACACGUUGAACAACAAGCUUCAGUCCACUGUUAAUGCAUGCACCCAUAUUAACAAGCUAACCUCUACCUGCUCCUGAACGUGCGCCACCUCACCGCCGCCCCGCCUAGCCGCUACCUUGCCACCGUGCACCGCGGACCUGGAGUGCCAGGACACUGCCAGCACGCGCGCCCGCUUCACCCUGGGCCAAAAGAUCGAGCCUUUCGUCGCCACGUGCCAACAUCCUGCUCAAGGUGCCCCUCGCGGUGCCAUCCCCUUUCGCUGAGCCCGCGACACGCGCGAACCGCACUCAUGCAUGUCGCGACACUCUGGCCCCACGAUGAGACCGCACAUCAAUGUCCGGCAGCUUUCGGCGUCGCUCCGCACUGUGGCACCAUGAUGCUUUGCCGCCCACGCCGGCUUUGCCGGCUCGUCGCACGUGUGGCGACAACGCCGCUCCUCGCUACAGCGUUGGCUCUGUUCUUGCGCCAGUACCCCGUCACGCCGCUGUCGGCCACUGCCUCCUCUUGGUCUAUAAAAGGGCGCAUUCGCGUAGCUCCUCUAUCACUCCCAACUCAUUUCCAACCAACUCGGCCACCUUCCCAAACCUGGCUCACUCACCCUCUCAGUUCCACUAGAGCAAGAUUUUGCUCGUUGCUCUCUCUCCGACCACCCUUUAGGGGAAAAUCUCUCGAGCUUGUCGUGCUCUUGUCGCCGAGAGUUCGCGAACAACGACGAGAAGAAGCCUGGAGUCCGGUGCCGCGGGAUAGGAAGUUUGUACCGCAAGCAGAAGCCCGGAGUACGUACCGCGAGCACGAGGACUAGUACCGCGAGCCGGAAAUCGAAACGCGUACCGUGAGUUGAAAUACCCAUUUGUUGAGCGAAGGCAAGUUCAAUCCCGCUCCUUUGAUGCAUAUUUUGUCCUAGUUUUUAUAAACACAACCUAUUGGCCUGUUUUAUAAAAUUGCAUAUAUUUUACCUGCUGAAAA